UGAGAAUGUACAGUAGCACUUUGGUGCAAU
rnacentral:sRNA from 1 species